rnacentral:tRNA from 2 species
GCCUGCAUAGCUCAGUUGGUAGAGCAGCUGACUCUUAAUCAGUUGGUCCCGGGUUCGAAUCCUGGUGCAGGCACCA